CCUGAGUACGACGGAGCACGUGAAAUUCCGUCGGAAUCUGGGAGGACCAUCUCCUAAGGCUAAAUACUCUCUAGUGACCGAUAGUGAACCAGUACCGUGAGGGAAAGGUGAAAAGUACCCCGGAAGGGGAGUGAAAGAGAACUUGAAACCGUGUGCUUACAAGUAGUCAGAGCCCGUUAAUGGGUGAUGGCGUGCCUUUUGUAGAAUGAACCGGCGAGUUACGAUCUGAUGCAAGGUUAAGCAGAAAAUGUGGAGCCGUAGCGAAAGCGAGUCUGAAUAGGGCGAAUGAGUAUUUGGUCGUAGACCCGAAACCAGGUGAUCUACCCUUGGUCAGGUUGAAGUUCAGGUAACACUGAAUGGAGGACCGAACCGACUUACGUUGAAAAGUGAGCGGAUGAACUGAGGGUAGCGGAGAAAUUCCAAUCGAACUUGGAGAUAGCUGGUUCUCUCCGAAAUAGCUUUAGGGCUAGCCUCAAGUGAUGAUUAUUGGAGGUAGAGCACUGUUUGGACGAGGGGCCCCUCUCGGGUUACCGAAUUCAGACAAACUCCGAAUGCCAAAUAAUUUAACUUGGGAGUCAGAAUGUGGGUGAUAAGGUCCAUAUUCGAAAGGGAAACAGCCCAGACCACCAGCUAAGGUCCCAAAAUAUAUGUUAAGUGGAAAAGGAUGUGGCGUUGCCCAGACAACUAGGAUGUUGGCUUAGAAGCAGCCAUCAUUUAAAGAGUGCGUAAUAGCUCACUAGUCGAGUGACACUGCGCCGAAAAUGUACCGGGGCUAAACAUAUUACCGAAGCUGUGGAUUGUCCAUUGGACAAUGGUAGGAGAGCGUUCUAAGGGCGUUGAAGCAUGAUCGCAAGGACAUGUGGAGCGCUUAGAAGUGAGAAUGCCGGUGUGAGUAGCGAAAGACGGGUGAGAAUCCCGUCCACCGAUUGACUAAGGUUUCCAGAGGAAGGCUCGUCCGCUCUGGGUUAGUCGGGUCCUAAGCUGAGGCCGACAGGCGUAGGCGAUGGAUAACAGGUUGAUAUUCCUGUACCACCAUUAUUCGUUUUAAGCGAUGGGGGGACGCAGUAGGAUAGGCGAAGCGUGCUGUUGGAGUGCACGUCCAAGCAGUGAGAUUGAGUGUUAGGCAAAUCCGGCACUCUUAAGAUUGAGCUGUGAUGGGGAGAGGAACUUGUUCCUCGAGUCGUUGAUUUCACACUGCCGAGAAAAGCCUCUAGCUAGAAUAACGGUGCCCGUACCGCAAACCGACACAGGUAGUCAAGAUGAGAAUUCUAAGGUGAGCGAGCGAACUCUCGUUAAGGAACUCGGCAAAAUGACCCCGUAACUUCGGGAGAAGGGGUGCUCUUUGAGGUUCACGCUUCGAAGAGCCGCAGUGAAUAGGCCCAAGCGACUGUUUAUCAAAAACACAGGUCUCUGCUAAACCGUAAGGUGACGUAUAGGGGCUGACGCCUGCCCGGUGCUGGAAGGUUAAGAGGAGUGGUUAGCGCAAGCGAAGCUACGAAUCGAAGCCCCAGUAAACGGCGGCCGUAACUAUAACGGUCCUAAGGUAGCGAAAUUCCUUGUCGGGUAAGUUCCGACCCGCACGAAAGGCGUAACGAUUUGGGCACUGUCUCAACGAGAGACUCGGUGAAAUCAUAGUACCGGUGAAGAUGCCGGUUACCCGCGACAGGACGGAAAGACCCCGUGGAGCUUUACUGUAGCCUGAUAUUGAAAUUCGGUACAGUUUGUACAGGAUAGGUAGGAGCCUUAGAAGCGUGAGCGCUAGCUUACGUGGAGGCAUUGGUGGGAUACUACCCUAAUUGUAUUGGAUUUCUAACCCGCAGCACUUAUCGUGCUGGGAGACAGUGUCAGGCGGGCAGUUUGACUGGGGCGGUCGCCUCCUAAAGAGUAACGGAGGCGCUCAAAGGUUCCCUCAGAAUGGUUGGAAAUCAUUCAUAGAGUGUAAAGGCAUAAGGGAGCUUGACUGCGAGACCUACAAGUCGAGCAGGGUCGAAAGACGGACUUAGUGAUCCGGUGGUUCCGCAUGGAAGGGCCAUCGCUCAACGGAUAAAAGCUACCCCGGGGAUAACAGGCUUAUCUCCCCCAAGAGUUCACAUCGACGGGGAGGUUUGGCACCUCGAUGUCGGCUCAUCGCAUCCUGGGGCUGUAGUCGGUCCCAAGGGUUGGGCUGUUCGCCCAUUAAAGCGGUACGCGAGCUGGGUUCAGAACGUCGUGAGACAGUUCGGUCCCUAUCCGUCGUGGGCGUAGGAAAUUUGAGAGGAGCUGUCCUUAGUACGAGAGGACCGGGAUGGACAUACCUCUGGUGUACCAGUUGUCGUGCCAACGGCAUAGCUGGGUAGCUAUGUAUGGACGGGAUAAGUGCUGAAAGCAUCUAAGCAUGAAGCCCCCCUCGAGAUGAGAUUUCCCAACUUC
rnacentral:rRNA from 1 species